rnacentral:rRNA from 1 species
AAGCGCUUGCGACCAGACUUGCCCGCGGAUGCUCAACCGGUCCUCCGGCCGGUGCACUCUUCCGCGGUCAGGCCAGCAUCAGUUCGGGCGGUCGGAUAAAGGCCUCGGGAAUGUAUCUCUCUUCGGGGAGUGUUAUAGCCCUUGGUGCAAUACGGCCCGCCUGGACUGAGGCCCGCGCUUCGUGCUAGGAUGCUGGCGUAAUGGUCGUAAGCGG